rnacentral:rRNA from 1 species
CCUACGGGUGGCAGCAGUGGGGAAUAUUGCACAAUGGGCGCAAGCCUGAUGCAGCCAUGCCGCGUGUGUGAAGAAGGCCCUCGGGUUGUAAAGCACUUUCAGCGGGGAGGAAGGCGGUGAGGUUAAUAACCUCAUCGAUUGACGUUACCCGCAGAAGAAGCACCGGCUAACUCCGUGCCAGCAGCCGCGGUAAUACGGAGGGUGCAAGCGUUAAUCGGAAUUACUGGGCGUAAAGCGCACGCAGGCGGUCUGUCAAGUCGGAUGUGAAAUCCCCGGGCUCAACCUGGGAACUGCAUUCGAAACUGGCAGGCUAGAGUCUGGUAGAGGGGGGUAGAAUUCAGGUGUAGCGGUGAAAUGCGUAGAGAUCUGGAGGAAUACCGGUGGCGAAGGCGGCCCCCUGGACAAAGACUGACGCUCAGGUGCGAAAGCGUGGGGAGCAAACAGGAUUAGAUACCCGAGUAGUC